UAUCCACGCCGUAAACGAUGACAACUAGCCGUCGGGGCCCUUGAGGCUUUGGUGGCGCAGCUAACGCGGUAAGUUGUCCGCCUGGGGAGUACGGUCGCAAGAUUAAAACUCAAAUGAAUUGACGGGGGCCCGCACAAGCGGUGGAGCAUGUGGUUUAAUUCGAUGCAACGCGAAAAACCUUACCAGGCCUUGACAUCCUGAGAACUUUCUAGAGAUAGAUUGGUGCCUUCGGGAACUCAGAGACAGGUGUUGCAUGGCUGUCGUCAGCUCGUGUCGUGAGAUGUUGGGUUAAGUCCCGUAACGAGCGCAACCCUUAUCCUUAUUUGCCAGCACGUAAUGGUGGGAACUCUAAGGAGACUGCCGGUGACAAACCGGAGGAAGGAGAGGAUGAUGUCAAGUCAUCAUGGCCCUUACGGCCUGGGCUACACACGUGCUACAAUGGACAGUACAGAGGGCCGCAAUACCGCGAGGUGGAGCAAAUCCCAGAAAACUGUUCGUAGUCCGGAUCGGAGU
rnacentral:rRNA from 1 species